AUUCGUUCCACACUCAGAGCUAUUGCCAAACUCUGUGGUGAAUGCCAUACACUCUCACUGUUGCCCAGUGAUGGCAAACCUAUGACACGAGUGUCAGCACUGACACGCGUAGCCAUUUCUGAUGACACGUGGCCGCAUGCCGAGGAUGAAACAUUUGCUGCUCCUGAGGAUGAAACAUUUGCGACUAGAGUCUUGGAUGGAUAUGCAGCACCUGUUCCAAGGGUCGGAGCAGAUCUCCCCCUUCCUCUCACCGCCAUGGCAGAAAAAGAGUCUGCAGGUUCCGUGCUGCAUCAUGCAGAUAAUAUUCCGAAUUCCAGGAGGGAUGUCGCCUGUGGAUAUGAUAGAAGAGAGCUGACAUUUCCUUCACACAGAGAAUGAAGGCGGAGCCCGGCCCGCAGCCCAACUCCAGGUGGUGACUGUGUUCUCACAGCGUUGACUUUCUCGGGACAAGCUCCAGGCUGCCUGAGCUCCGGUUUCCCAGCUUUAAAAGAGGAACAAUAAGCUCAAAGUGUUGCCUGGACUUGUCCAUUUUAUUCCAGGUUAUUAGGGUCUGACUGACUCCAACCUUCCUGGGGACGGUGUGAGCUCACCCAUUAGGGAGGGAAAAGAGAGUUGGGGUGACCAGAGUGGAAGAAUGGAGGGUGGGUCUUGGUCACCAGGAAACUUGGAAAUAGUUCUGACCCUCAGUUUGUGGCCCAAUUUUCAGUUUUAUAUCCUACAAUGAAAGACAUAAAAUAAAGCCUCUCUCCUCACCCUAACUUGUGUGUGUGUAGGUCAGGCACAAGCACCUUAUGUCCCCAUUAGGAAAACAUUUCAUAUUUGUCACAAGAAAAAAAAAUUGUAGCUAUGUGAAGCAAUGGAUGUUAAAGAGACAUGUGUGGUUAAUAUUUCACAAUAUACACAAAUAGCAAAUCAUUGCAUUGUACACCUGAAACUAAUAUAAUGUUAUAGGUCAAUUAUCCUCAAGAAUAAUA